rnacentral:rRNA from 1 species
GAUGAACGCUGGCGGCGUGCCUAAUACAUGCAAGUCGAGCGAACGGACGAGAAGCUUGCUUCUCUGAUGUUAGCGGCGGACGGGUGAGUAACACGUGGAUAACCUACCUAUAAGACUGGGAUAACUUCGGGAAACCGGAGCUAAUACCGGAUGAUAUUUUGAACCGCAUGGUUCAAAAGUGAAAGACGGUCUUGCUGUCACUUAUAGAUGGAUCCGCGCUGCAUUAGCUAGUUGGUAAGGUAACGGCUUACCAAGGCAACGAUGCAUAGCCGACCUGAGAGGGUGAUCGGCCACACUGGAACUGAGACACGGUCCAGACUCCUACGGGAGGCAGCAGUAGGGAAUCUUCCGCAAUGGGUGAAAGCCUGACGGAGCAACGCCGCGUGAGUGAUGAAGGUCUUCGGAUCGUAAAACUCUGUUAUUAGGGAAGAACAUAUGUGUAAGUAACUGUGCACAUCUUGACGGUACCUAAUCAGAAAGCCACGGCUAACUACGUG